rnacentral:rRNA from 1 species
GACGAACGCUGGCGGCGUGCUUAACACAUGCAAGUCGAACGGAAAGGCCUGCUUUCCCUUGUGGAUUGCGGGUACUCGAGUGGCGAACGGGUGAGUAACACGUGAGUGAUCUGCCCCCAACUUGGGUAUAAGCCUGGGAAACUGGGUCUAAUUCCCGAUAGGACUGCAGGGUGGUGCCUGUGGUGGAAAACGAUUUUCUAGUGGUUGGGGAUGAGCUCGCGGCCUAUCAGCUCGUUGGUGGGGUACUGGCCUACCAAGGCGGCGACGGGUAGCCGGCCUGGGAGGGUGGACGGCCACAUUGGGACUGAGAUACGGCCCAGACUACUACGGGAGGCAGCAGUGGGGAAUAUUGCACAAUGGGCGGAAGCCUGAUGCAGCGACGCCGCGUGGGGGAUGACGGCCUUCGGGUUGUAAACUCCUUUCGACCGCGAGGAAGCCACCUGGUUGGAAGGGUGGUGACGGUAGUGGUAGAAGAAGCACCGGCUAACUACGUG